GUGAACGCUGGCGGUAGGCCUAACACAUGCAAGUCGAACGGCAGCACAGGAGAGCUUGCUCUCUAGGUGGCGAGUGGCGGACGGGUGAGGAAUACAUCGGAAUCUGCCCAGUCGUGGGGGAUAACGUAGGGAAACUUACGCUAAUACCGCAUACGACCUUCGGGUGAAAGAGGGGGAUCGCAAGACCUCUCGCGAUUGGAUGAGCCGAUGUCGGAUUAGCUAGUUAGCGGGGUAAUGGCCCACCAAGGCGACGAUCCGUAGCUGGUCUGAGAGGGUGAUCAGCCACACUGGAACUGAGACACGGUCCAGACUCCUACGGGAGGCAGCAGUGGGGAAUAUUGGACAAUGGGCGCAAGCCUGAUCCAGCCAUACCGCGUGGGUGAAGAAGGCCUUCGGGUUGUAAAGCCCUUUUGUUGGGAAAGAAAUCUUUCAGGCUAAUACCCUGGGAGGAUGACGGUACCCAAAGAAUAAGCACCGGCUAACUUCGUG
rnacentral:rRNA from 1 species